rnacentral:rRNA from 1 species
GAGUUUGAUCGUGGCUCAGGAUGAACGCUGGCGGCGUGCCUAACACAUGCAAGUCGAACGGAGUUCUUAAGGAAUGCGGCUUCGGCCAAAUGACUUUUGAACUUAGUGGCGGACGGGUGAGUAACGCGUGAGCAACCUGCCUUUCAGAGGGGGAUAACAUUUGGAAACAGAUGCUAAUACCGCAUAAGAUUACAGUACCGCAUGAUACAGUGAUCAAAGGAGCAAUCCGCUGAAAAGAUGGGCUCGCGUCCGAUUAGAUAGUUGGUGAGGUAGCGGCUCACCAAGUCGACGAUCGGUAGCCGGACUGAGAGGUUGAACGGCCACAUUGGGACUGAGACACGGCCCAGACUCCUACGGGAGGCAGCAGUGGGGAACAUUGCACAAUGGGCGAAAGCCUGAUGCAGCAACGCCGCGUGAGGGAAGACGGUUUCGGAUUGUAAACCUCUGUUUUCGGUGACGAACAAAUGACGGUAACCGAGUAGGAAGCCACGGCUAACUACGUGCCAGCAGCCGAC